rnacentral:rRNA from 1 species
UACGAAGGUGGCAAGCGUUGUUCGGAAUCACUGGGCUUAAAGCGUACGCGGGCGGAUUAUCAAGUGUCCUUUGAAAUCCCACGGCUCAACCGUGGAAUUGGGGGGCAAACUGGUAAUCUUGAGGCAGUUAGGGGUGGGUGGAACUCUUGGUGGAGCGGUGGAAUGCGUAGAUAUCAAGAGGAACGCCAGAGGUGAAAACGACCCACUGGGACUGUCCUGACGCUGAGGUACGAAAGCGUGGGUAGCGAACGGG